AAACCAUGGUGCGGGCAUUGUCUUUGCAAAUCCUUUAAUCUCUCCCAAACCUCGAACAAACUCUCAUCCGCUUGUUGUGAGAUAC
rnacentral:snoRNA from 1 species